rnacentral:rRNA from 1 species
UCUUCGGAGAAGAGCGGCGGACGGGUGAGUAACGCGUGGGUAACCUGCCCUGUACACACGGAUAACAUACCGAAAGGUAUGCUAAUACGAGAAUAAUAUACUUUUAUCGCAUGGUAGAAGUAUCAAAGCUUUUGGCGGUACAGGAUGGACCCGCGUUCUGAUUAGCUAUUUGGUAAGGUAACGGCUUACCAAGGCGACGAUCAGUAGCCGACCUGAGAGGGUGAUCGGCCACAUUGGAACUGAGACACGGUCCAUACUCCUACGGGAGGCAGCAGUGGGGAAUAUUGCACAAUGGGCGAAAGCCUGAUGCAGCAACGCCGCGUGAGCGGAUGAAGGCCUUCGGGUCGUAAAGCUCUGUCCUCAAGGAAGAUAAUGACGGUACUUGAGGAGGUAAGCCUCGGCUAACUACGUGCCAGCAUCCGCGGUAAUACGUAGGUGGCUAGCGUUAUCCGGAAUUACUGGGCGUAAAGGGUGCGUAGGUGGUUUCUUAAGUCAGAGGUGAAAGGCUACGGCUCAACCGUAGUAAGCCUUUGAAACUGGGAAACUUGAGUGCAGGAGAGGAGAGUGGAAUUCCUAGUGUAGCGGUGAAAUGCGAAGAUAUUAGGAGGAACACCAGUUGCGAAGGCGGCUCUCUGGACUGUAACUGACACUGAGGCACGAAAGCGUGGGGAGCAAACAGGAUUAGAUAUCCCUGGUAGUCCACGCCGUAAACGAUGAGUACUAGCUGUCGGAGGUUACCCCCUUCGGUGGCGC